GACGAACGCUGGCGGCGUGCUUAACACAUGCAAGUCGAACGGUGAAGCUCCAGCUUGCUGGAGUGGAUCAGUGGCGAACGGGUGAGUAACACGUGAGCAACCUGCCCCUGACUCUGGAAUAAGCGCUGGAAACGGCGUCUAAUACUGGAUACGAGAAGGGUCCGCAUGGGCACUUUCUGGAAAGUUUUUCGGUUGGGGAUGGGCUCGCGGCCUAUCAGCUUGUUGGUGAGGUAAUGGCUCACCAAGGCGACGACGGGUAGCCGGCCUGAGAGGGCGACCGGCCACACUGGGACUGAGACACGGACCAGACUCCUACGGGAGGCAGCAGUGGGGAAUAUUGCACAAUGGGCGAAAGCCUGAUGCAGCGACGCCGCGUGAGGGAUGACGGCCUUCGGGUUGUAAACCUUUUUCAGCAGGGAAGAAGCGAAAGUGACGGUACCUGCAGAAGAAGCACCGGCUAACUACGUG
rnacentral:rRNA from 1 species